GCAGAGAAUGUGUCUUUGCUGCAGCCUGCCUGGUCUUGUGAUGCAAUCAAUGAGAUUAAAUCAUUGACUGGCCAGGCCAUGGGAGGCCUGGAUGAAAUAUAACACUAUGGCAGGCAGGCUCGGAAAACACCCAGCCUCACCAACUCAGGCUGCUGGACGCCUGCUGUGCUCAGGCUGACGUCUCCAAAGGUCGUCAGGCAGCUAGCAGCAAAGCUAACAGCUGCUCAUGCGCCCUUUUAAUCACGCAGAGUCCAUUUUAAACCCCACUCAGGCGAACAGCACGUACACCCACCGUCUAACGUCCCUUCUACCGCAAUGACCUCUUCAAAAACACCCGUUUAAAUACAGGGGAAAGUGUUGCUGACGUCUCCAGGGUAGUUCCCUUCACCAAGCCGCUAAGCUAGGAUAAUGGUCGAUAACCCAGCAGACGUUGUCGCGCAUUUGCAAACCACCCAGAAGGCAAUAAACGACCUCAACCGCUUUAACGUCUUUCGAAAUUUCGCCAGCGUUCACGACAGCCUUAUCAGCGGCAAGUUUGGAAACGAUGACAGCUGGGCCAGUGGGGAGACACUUCCGUCUCCAUUCCCCGCCUCCAGCAGCCUUCGCCAGCCACUCAGUGAAAGGAUUUCCUCCACAUCGCCCCGCCCAUAUUAUCUGUAAUCUGCUGUCUGAUUGGAUAAUUGCUCUGAUGGAGGAAAAAGGCAGAGCGCCGGCAGCAGAGGAGGUGGCAUUCUGCGAUGAUGGUACCUAUGAGGAGGGAGUCAGGUGGCAACCCCAAGUUUCCCCAUCCAGGAGCUCAGUGACCUCAGGUCUACACUAGGAGAGACGCCGGGCCUCGAACGCACCACAAAGAUGGAUCAUGUUUGGACAAAACGAAAUACAAAAUUUGAUUGAUUAGAUUGAUUGGUUGAAAACACCACCAGACGGUCCAGAAGUGGACAAGCAUUUAUGUUUUCUUUUGUGUGGAAACAGUGAAAA